CGCACAUUGCGCCCAUUAGUAUUCUAGUGGGCAUGCCUGUUCGAGCGUCAUUUCAACCCUUAAGCCCUCGUCGCUUAGCGUUGGGAGCCUACGGCACCGUAGCUCCCCAAAGUUAGUGGCGGAGUCGGUUCACACCCCAGACGUAGUAGAAUUUCACCUCGCCUGUAGUUGGACCGGUCCCCUGCCGUAAAACAACAUAAUCUUCUCAAGGUUGACCUCGGAUCAGGUAGGAAUACCCGCUGAACUUAA
rnacentral:misc_RNA from 1 species